rnacentral:tRNA from 1 species
AGAAACUUAGGUUAACCUAAACCAAGAGCCUUCAAAGCCCUAAACGAAGGCAACCCCUUCAGUUUCUG